rnacentral:rRNA from 1 species
UACGUAGGGUGCAAGCGUUAAUCGGAAUUACUGGGCGUAAAGCGUGCGCAGGCGGUUUUGUAAGUCUGACGUGAAAUCCCCGGGCUCAACCUGGGAAUUGCGUUGGAGACUGCAAGGCUAGAAUCUGGCAGAGGGGGGUAGAAUUCCACGUGUAGCAGUGAAAUGCGUAGAGAUGUGGAGGAACACCGAUGGCGAAGGCAGCCCCCUGGGUCAAGAUUGACGCUCAUGCACGAAAGCGUGGGGAGCAAACAAGG